UGGGGAAUAUUGCACAAUGGGCGCAAGCCUGAUGCAGCAACGCCGCGUGAGGGAUGACGGCCUUCGGGUUGUAAACCUCUUUUAGUAGNGAAGAAGGCCUUCGGCUUGA
rnacentral:rRNA from 1 species